rnacentral:tRNA from 1 species
CGGGUAGAGGUGCAGAAGGAAGCACGCCGGUUUUGGGAACCGGAGGCUCUCGGUUCGACUCCGAGGUGCCCGA